UACGGAGGGUGCAAGCGUUAUCCGGAUUCACUGGGUUUAAAGGGUGCGUAGGUGGGUUGGUAAGUCAGUGGUGAAAUCUCCGGGCUUAACCCGGAAACUGCCAUUGAUACUAUCUGUCUUGAAUACCCUGGAGGUGAGCGGAAUAUGUCAUGUAGCGGUGAAAUGCUUAGAUAUGACAUAGAACACCCAUUGCGAAGGCAGCUCACUACGGGAAUAUUGACACUGAGGCACGAAAGCGUGGGGAUCAAACAGG
rnacentral:rRNA from 1 species